CUGUCACAGCAAUUGCAAUGGAAAAUUCACUAAACAAUAGAUUCCAAUAGGAGCGCUCAAUAGAAUUCUAGAAUAGAAUAGAAAUUGAGAGAUCCUCUGUUCUAUCCUGUUUCCCCAAAAUAACUUGGUUAUAGAAGCUGCCUGGCAUUUAGUCUUUUACACAACUUACUGCCCCCAUUAACUCGUAAGAAACUCAAAGAACGAUAUUGUGCACAGGAAGAAAAAGAAGGAGAAGGAGGGGUCGGGAAGAACUUGUCAAUUGUAUCUCAUAAUUAGAGCAUGGACAUUAUAAAUUAUAGGUGAGAUUAUUUGGAAAGGUUUCUGAGCUUAAUGGAUUUGCAAAAGAGAUAAGCAAAAAGAAUAUCUCCUGUAUGUAUUUAGAUAUAUCAUAUUUUAC
rnacentral:lncRNA from 1 species